rnacentral:rRNA from 1 species
UACGGGGGGGGCAAGCGUUGUUCGGAAUUACUGGGCGUAAAGGGCUCGUAGGCGGCCAACUAAGUCAGACGUGAAAUCCCUCGGCUUAACCGGGGAACUGCGUCUGAUACUGGAUGGCUAGAGAUUGGGAGAGGGAUGCGGAAUUCCAGGUGUAGCGGUGAAAUGCGUAGAUAUCUGGAGGAACACCGGUGGCGAAGGCGGCAUUCUGGACCGAUAUUGACGCUGAGGAGCGAAAGCGUGGGGAGCGAACAGG